rnacentral:rRNA from 1 species
CCUACGGGCGGCAGCAGUGGGGAAUAUUGCACAAUGGGGGAAACCCUGAUGCAGCGACGCCGCGUGAGUGAAGAAGUAUUUCGGUAUGUAAAGCUCUAUCAGCAGGGAAGAAAAUGACGGUACCUGCUUACGCAGCCCCGGCUAACUACGUUCCAGCAGCCGCGGUCAUACGUAGGGGGCAAGCGUUAUCCGGAUUUACUGGGUGUAAAGGGAGCGUAGACGGCAGCGCAAGUCUGAAGUGAAAUGCCGGGGCUUAACCCCGGAACUGCUUUGGAAACUGUGCAGCUAGAGUGAAGGAGAGGUAAGUGGAAUUCCUAGUGUAGCGGUGAAAUGCGUAGAUAUUAGGAGGAACACCAGUGGCGAAGGCGGCUUACUGGACUGUAACUGACGUUGAGGCUCGAAAGCGUGGGGAGCAAACAGGAUUAGAUACCCUAGUAGUC